ensembl:snoRNA SNORA75 Small nucleolar RNA SNORA75
GUCUUCUCAUUGAGCUCUGUUCUGUCUCUUGGUGGCAGUUUAUGGAUUCGCACGAGAAGAAGAAGAAUUCACAGAACUUAGCAUUAUUCUACCUUCUUUUUUACGGAGGUAUAUUUGGCUGUUUUGUGAGACAUUC